rfam:Sorghum bicolor cultivar BTx623 chromosome 1, whole genome shotgun sequence.
GUAGUCCGAUUUGCAUCAAUCCACAUGUGUUGAUGUGGAUUGGAGUGAAACUUGAACUAAAUUACACCUCAAUUCACUCCAAUACAUGUGGACUGAAGUGAAUCCGACA